rnacentral:lncRNA from 1 species
CUCGAGUGGAAAUAAAGAACUUCUUCAGACAAUUGGUUUUUUUGGAUUACUUGCCUAAACGUGCUGCAGAUUUGCUGAAACCGUUCUGUGUAAAAUGCAAUUUGUGGAGCACAGCCCGGAAUGCCUCUUCGCUCGUUCUCUUCAGCUGCCCAUCCAGGAGAUUUGCCAAAGGAGUUGUUCCAGAAUCAGCAGCACCAAAAUGAACAUUUCAUCCACAUUCACAUUCUCCUAGUUACAAGCCUUCAUGCUCAAAAGCUAUAACCUUCAUGCCACAACUGAAAAGAAAUUGUAUUUUCAAACUGAUGUUCUGUAGCCCGGUAGACCGGUAGUACGGAUUUGCCAUUGCUAGUACCCGCGCCCAGGCUUUGUACUGAGGCGCCAGGACUGAGGCUUGUCAGGCUUUGUUUGAGCUUCACUUUCAUUGCCUGGAGCUUUGUUUUUACUUAGUUUAGCUGCAGCAGCAAUUUUUCUAAUUACCAGGUGGCUAUGCCUAAUUUCUCUUGGUAAUUGUUAUAUGGUGCAUCCACUGGUUUAAUAUGAUAAUAGUAACAAGUAGUUUAGUUAUUCUGUGCAGAAUGAGAUAUUUGUAACUUUAGCAUAACGAUGUCGCGUAGAGCAAUGUAGGCCUAAUAUGUAUGGAUAGCAGACGCCUUAAAAAGUAGGGAAGUGCACAGGUGAACGGGCAUGGGAUGACAACCAACAGGGCACAGGCUGGCACUGGAGAUCACAGGGCUGUAAGUAACUCAAAAAAGGUCAGAUAGAGGAAUGCAGAUCUGGAGCUGAUUUUAAGAGUAACUGAGAACACCAAACAACUAGCUAGUGUAUGUUAGACCCACCACAUAUAGUAAAUUGGGAUGCUGUGUGGAGCUGCAGACCAAUAGAGAAAGAGCAAGGUGUAAAAGCAUAUUAGAAAACAUAAAAAUAGCAUCAAGUGAAUAUGAAGAUAAGGAAGGAGAGGAGGAGAAAGAAACCUGCAAACAUUGUACUUCUCUGAGCAAAAGACUAAACAUUGGGACCUCAAGGGGAAGUGGAAGGGUGAGCGUUAACACCAGAAAAAUGAAUAGGAACUUGGAAGUGUGUGUAUGACAAUUUUAAAUGUAUUAUUAUUAUUACUGCUGUUAUUAUAGACAUCUUUUCUGUAGAGCAGUAUUGUUUAUUUUUUCUUUCCUUUUCUGUAAUAAUUAGUUAUGGACUAAUAAUAAUUCUUUGUUUAGAUUGUUAAGAUUGCAAUUAUACUAACGAUAAAUUCUUGGCUUUACACAUAAUGUGUGUUUUCUUUUAGCCCAUAAGAGGAUUUAGAGCAUAACAGUAUGUGUGGUACUCUGCAUUUUUUGCCUUCUAGUAAAAACUAUUACAAUAAUGUAAAAUAAAAGUGCGG